rnacentral:rRNA from 1 species
GACGAACGCUGGCGGCGUGCCUAAUACAUGCAAGUCGAGCGCAGGAAACUGACGGAACUCUUCGGAGGGAAGGCAGUGGAAUGAGCGGCGGACGGGUGAGUAACACAUAAGGAACCUGCCUCAAGGAUUGGGAUAACUCCGAGAAAUCGGAGCUAAUACCGGAUAGUUCAACGGACCGCAUGGUCCGCUGAUGAAAGGCGCUCCGGCGUCACCUUGAGAUGGCCUUGCGGUGCAUUAGCUAGUUGGUGGGGUAACGGCCCACCAAGGCGACGACGCAUAGCCGACCUGAGAGGGUGAUCGGCCACACUGGGACUGAGACACGGCCCAGACUCCUACGGGAGGCAGCAGUAGGGAAUCUUCCACAAUGGACGAAAGUCUGAUGGAGCAACGCCGCGUGAGUGAUGAAGGUUUUCGGAUCGUAAAACUCUGUUGUAAGGGAAGAACACGUACGAGAGGGAAUGCUCGUACCUUGACGGUACCUUACGAGAAAGCCACGGCUAACUACGUGCCAGCCGCCGCAGUAAGAC